rnacentral:tRNA from 1 species
GCCUUCUAGCUUUAGUUGUAGAGCACCCGCUUAGUAAGCGGGAGGUCGUCGGUUCAACUCCAGCAGAAGGCU